rnacentral:tRNA from 1 species
GUCGUGGGGACCAGUUGGGGACCACACCAUACGCGCGACGGUGUACGACACGCUUCUUCGCACUGGGGGGGGGCAGGGGGCGCAGGUUCAAAUCCUGUCGUCCCGACCA